UGGAGGGCGCGCCCGGGAGGGCGGAGCUCGCCCGCUCCGCAGCCGGAGACCCUUCAGUAGCGGCUACUCUGGUGAGUUCAUACUUUGGAAGAAAUCUUAGAAUAUGUUCAACGUGGUAGUAAUUUUUACCUGCUGCCUCAGAAUACAAAUUUGAAGACGUUAAGAAGUUAUACAAAGAUACACCACUUAUACUGAGAUAUGUGACUGACACCGGAGAGCAUCCCGUGCUCCUUUGGCAGGAUUUUUAUUCACCUUGCCCAUCAGGCAUCCCACAAGUCCUUAUGAUAGGUUAUAUAAGCAAAAACUCAAACGAGGUUUCCUCUGAAGUGUCUGGAGGAACUGGAGACUUGAACUGCAUGGUUCAUUUGUGCUGCUUUGGCAGUUGUAAACGAAGCGAGUAAUUAUUAACCUGUGUAUUGUCUUCAACAUCCCUUCUACAUGCUUCAGAGAUCGGCUUAGUCCUAGACAAUGUGUGGGGUUGCUUUAAAACAAACAAAACCAUGAUAUUCUAUUGGCAUCAUUUUAAAACCAAAAUAGUCAAUUGGCAUCAUAUUAUCAGUAUAAACAAAAAAGGUUAUUACUCUCUACAAGUUGCUUGGAGGAAUUCUUUGCUUAAAAAUUUUAUAUUUGUUUAACAGUUCUGAAAUUAGAGGGUGAGUCUGGUUUUAGUGACCUUUCUUCCUCAGUCUCCUAAGAGUGAAGUGAGCAUUUGGAGACAUGACAUACCACAUUCAGCUGUCUGAAAUUCUUUGCAACUAAAUUUUCUAGAUAUUAAGAUAGUCUUGAAGAAUUUAUAACACUUGUAAAAGAAAACUUUUAGAGACACAUUCGAUAAAUUCAGAGAUUGGAAAAGAUCAGCAAAUAUUAAUGUACUUUUCUUCCCCCUUUCCAGUAAACUACGGGAUGCUUUUAGCUAAUGGAUCAUAAACUGCACGCCAAAGUUCUUGAUCAUUAUUUUAAAUAAUGGCAAUGUAAUUUCCAAUGUGAUUGCUAUUGUUACAAAUGUGUCUGGCACAAUUAAAGACUGCAGUGGUUUAAA